rnacentral:tRNA from 1 species
GCUUUCGUAGUGUAGUGGUCAGCACGCUCGAGCUGUAUUGGAGAGGUCCAUGGUUCGAAUCCCGGCGAGAGCA